AGCGCAGGCGGUGCGGCAAGUCUGAUGUGAAAGCCCGGGGCUCAACCCCGGUACUGCAUUGGAAACUGUCGUACUAGAGUGUCGGAGGGGUAAGCGGAAUUCCUAGUGUAGCGGUGAAAUGCGUAGAUAUUAGGAGGAACACCAGUGGCGAAGGCGGCUUACUGGACAAUAACUGACGCUGAGGCUCGAAAGCGUGGGGAGCAAACA
rnacentral:rRNA from 1 species